rnacentral:lncRNA from 1 species
CACGAGCUUACUGCACUCUCAUCCUCCUCUUACUACGAACUGAUUUCACCACGACCUUUACAUCAUAAAACUAAGCUUGUUGAAACUUACAUUGUGUACUGAUUAGGAUUUCUAACCAUUCAUAUCGUCUCGGUGGCCGAGUGGUCUAAGUAGUUUCUACCGUAAUCACAAGCCAAUCAACACUAAUGUUGUGAGUUCGAACCCCGCUCAAAUCAAACCAUUCAUUUACCUGAUGUGUUCCUUUGACAGGGGAUUACGAUAAGUGAUUCAUUUAAAAAAAACAAACUUUUGUGACUUAAUAGGGUAUAAAAAUUAUCUUAAAAGAGGCAAAAUAUACUAAGGUG